CUUUUAAUAUGCGCAGCAGGUGUCUAUAUUACAGAUGUCGGGCAACCGACUAUGGCGAUAAAUGUUUCGUGGAAUAAACGUUGCGGACCCGGGGGCGGUACCCGGCGCCUCCACCAUUCUUAUGGGGGCGAAAUAGGUUCGACGCGCGCAGUAAAGAUGUGAUUUUCGCUCGGCAUGAUACCACCGUUACCGGGGUCAAAAACUACAAAUGCAAACGAUAAUGAAGCAUUUGCCGUAGCUGCUUAAUUGCACUACACGGGGUUCGGAGGGGCACCUGGCAACAGAAGCCCC
rnacentral:tmRNA from 1 species